rnacentral:misc_RNA from 1 species
AUAUUAUCCAAGUUAGUUCAGAGCAUUCAUUUAAUGAUCAACUAAUUUUGAUUAAGAAGUAUUCUUCUAUUAUUAACUCAUCUGAAGCUUUGGGAUAUCUGUUUGUCCAACAUGCCUGUGUGACCCACAGUUUGUCAAAGCCAUGGAUGGUUAUUUUUUUAUGAAAUGUUGCUAAUUCCUAAGUGCCAUGUGCAUUAGCAUGUAAUGGUUUAUUUCUCAGGUUAA